rnacentral:rRNA from 1 species
AUAGCGGCGGGACUUCGGUCCCUUUAGCGAAAGUGCCGGUAAUACCUGAUGACCCCGUAGGAUCGCAUGAUCCAGCGGGCAAAGCUCCGACGGUCCGGGAGCGGUUCAUGUCUUAUCAGCUUGUUGGUGGGGUAACGGCCUACCAAGGCUACGACGGGUAGCGGGCGUGAGAGCGUGGCCCGCCGCAUCGGGACUGAGACACGGCCCGGACACCUACGGGUGGCUGCAGCAACGAAUAUUCCGCAAUGGGCGAAAGUCUGACGGAGCGACGCCGCGUGCAGGAAGAAGUCCCUCGGGAUGUAAACUGCUGUCAGGGGUUAGGAAUAAAUGACCAACCCCACAGGAAGCACUGGCUAACUCCGUGCCAGCAGCCGCGGUAAUACGGAGAGUGCAAGCGUUGUUCGGAAUUACUGGGCUUAAAGGGCGUGUAGGCGGAGCGACAGGUGUUGUGUGAAAGCCCCGGGCUCAACCCGGGAAUGGCAUGGCAAACCGGCGCUCUUGAGGCAGGCAGAGGUGACUGGAACGACCGGUGGAGCGGUGAAAUGCGUAGAUAUCGGUUGGAACGCCAG